CCUGCUGAUUCCAUUCCUGGGUUCUGCACUGCGAAGGCAGAAAAAAGUCACAGUCCGGACUGGAAUCGAACUGCAAGCACUCCAAAGUGAAGGGAAAACGCUCUGAUAUUAACCUAAACUGCUGUAUUUAACAACACUGUGGAGGAGCCGCGCUCUGCCGGAGCUGCAGCACCAUCCGCUUCAGUGCAAGGCAGCCUUCAGCCUCCAGAUCAGUAUUUCACCCCUCCUCCAGAACAGUGGACACCUUUCUGAGCUGCUGAGAGCCGGGAAGCGUGUUUUGAAUCCCAGCGAUGUUCCUGUCUGAUCAGCACCGCGUGGCUUCGUGUUUGCUGUCCUCUGUUGGUAUCUGCGCUGUCCUCUGCUACCAUCUGCUCUGACCAACAAACCUCACUGCAGCCCCAACAAACCAACUGCAGCCCGGCUGCAGGCGGCGCAGUCUCGGUGAGGGCUCCCAGCACAGUGCAGUGCUCGGGGGAAUGGGGUGGGGGGGCCCGAAGGACAC
rnacentral:lncRNA from 1 species